rnacentral:lncRNA from 1 species
AAGGAUACCAUGUAAGACCAUGUCAAGAUAUGGCAAUGGUAAGUUUCAAAAAGAUACCACGUAAGACCAUGACAAUUCAUGGCAAUGGUAAGGUACCCGUGUAUCCUUAUAAUUCCAAGUGGUUCAACGGGAUAAUGUAAAGAUAAUAUCAAGGUAAGGUAAGGUAAGACAAGUUAUACUAAAAAGGUAUGACCAGUUCAUGCUAGAAGAGAAAAGGU